rnacentral:rRNA from 1 species
AUGAACGCUGGCGGCGUGCCUAAUACAUGCAAGUCGAGCGAACAGACGAGGAGCUUGCUCCUCUGACGUUAGCGGCGGACGGGUGAGUAACACGUGGAUAACCUACCUAUAAGACUGGGAUAACUUCGGGAAACCGGAGCUAAUACCGGAUAAUAUAUUGAACCGCAUGGUUCAAUAGUGAAAGACGGUUUUGCUGUCACUUAUAGAUGGAUCCGCGCCGCAUUAGCUAGUUGGUAAGGUAACGGCUUACCAAGGCAACGAUGCGUAGCCGACCUGAGAGGGUGAUCGGCCAUACUGGAACUGAGACACGGUCCAGACUCCUACGGGAGGCAGCAGUAGGGAAUCUUCCGCAAUGGGCGAAAGCCUGACGGAGCAACGCCGCGUGAGUGAUGAAGGUCUUCGGAUCGUAAAACUCUGUUAUUAGGGAAGAACAAAUGUGUAAGUAACUAUGCACGUCUUGACGGUACCUAAUCAGAAAGCCACGGCUAACUACGUG